rnacentral:rRNA from 1 species
GAUGAACGCUGGCAGCGUGCCUAAUACAUGCAAGUCGAGCGAACAGAUGAGGAUCUUGCUCCUCUGACAGUAGCGGCGGACGGGUGAGUAACACGUGGAUAACCUACCUAUAAGACUGAGAUAACGUCGGGAAUGCGGAGCUAAUACAGGAUAAUAUAUUGAACCGCAUGGUUCAAUAGUGAGAGACGGUGUUGCUGUCACUUAUAGAUGGAUCCGCGGCGCAUUAGCUAGUUGGUAAGGUAGCGGCUUACCAAGGCCAGGAUGCGUAGCCGACAUGGGAGGGUGAGGGGCCCCACCGGAACUGAGACACGGCCCAGAGUCCACCGGGAGGCAGCCGUAACGACUCCGCCGGACAGGGCGAAGGAAUAACGGAGCAAGGGCGCGUCAGUGAUGAAGGAAUUCGGAUCGUAAAACGCUGUUAUUAGGGAAGAACAAAUCUGUAAGCAACUAAGAACGAAUUGACGGUACCUGCUCAGAAAGCGACGGCUAACUACGUG